ensembl:lncRNA
UAUUAUAAGGCAGAGCGGUGUACUUCCUAUUUAUACUCCCAGUUUAUAAAACUAAUGCAAGUAACAAGCUUUCAUGUGAAUGAGAGAAUGCUAGCAUCCAUGGCGCUCACUUAAAGGUAGAUAGACUGCAUCAGUUUGUUCUUCUUCUUUCAUUUUGCUGUCCUGGCUGUCAUCACUUCGAAGCUCUAUGGCACUAGGAGAUGCAGUCUGUUGGCUUGCUUUGCUUUCUCUUUCUGUGACUGGGGAUUUGCAGUGCGGCCUUUUUUACUACUGGGCCAGCCAGACUGGUGUAGGAUGGCUUAUUUCUUCAGUAUACUCCAGGGCUGAAUAAUUUGCAGUUGUCUCUAUUCCCUUGCCUGAUCACUACUGCUCAGUGCUUUGCAGUGUGGCAGUAUGCAGAGCACUUCCAUAGCUUUCCAACUGCUUCUGUCCCUAAUGGAAAUCUGCCUCAUUGAGUGUUACAGGUGUCCUUGCUAACCUUUCUUUCCAUGGACUUGUACUGAAACUUUAAAAGUGGUAUCUUCUAGUCCUGUCUCAUCAUUGUGCUAUGCUGUACUGAUUGGUGUGCUGGGUCCCAUAGGCAGAGAGGUUUUUACAACGACAAAUUGAAGCAUAUAGAAGCUUCCUGUUGGUUUUCUUGAGUAAAAAGGUGUGCUGGAGAUGCUAUAAAUGGAGUGUCUGGUGGCAGUUGUGCUGGGCUAUGAUGGAGUUAGUGUGAGUCAAGCUUGCUUUUGGGAUGGUUAGUUCCUCUUUCAGACUGUGAACGUAUGUCCUAGUAACUUUGUGCUGUACUGGGACCUCAAGACACUCAGGUAAAAUAGCAGCCCCUUCAACCCAGGUAUCUUUUGGUACUGAAGAUUAUGGUUUGAAGGUUCUUUAUUCUACUUCCUUGUGCAGUUUUAUUAUCCAUUUCAUUAUUUCAAUUAUGAGGUAGUGGCAAAAACUGUCAGAGAGAGCCAGUGGUCAGAGAGAAGUUCAAAUCAAAUUGUAGGACAACAACCAGUGAAAGUGGCAUAGUGAUACAAAACAACUCUCCUUGGAAAGAAGACGUGUGAAGCAAAUAGGAUUUUUAAGCUGAUCAGAGUAGGUUUUGCUUCCUGGAGUGGAUUUCGCUUGGGCAUCAUGGCUGCAUGCAGGAAACCAGAGGUAAAUUCUGCCUGGAAUGAUGGUAAAAGAGGCAUCAUGCAAGUGGAUGAGCUGACGGAGGUUGGUUGUGUAGUUUAAAGUAGAAUAGUAUAUGUAGGACAUUCAGGAAAACAGAGUAGAGGUAGAGAUAGUCUGGGUCCAAAGAACAUUUUUUGGCCAGUAGCCAUUUAAGAUGAAGUACAGAAAAGCUUCAGGAAAGUAGAUUUAGGACUGAGGUGGUGAUCUGUAAUUGCUGAACGAAUCAGAAAGUGUUUUUAAAAAUGUCGUAUCAGGCCUCUUGUUUCUUUGCUUGCUGUCCUCUAAGCAAAUGUUUAUUAAAAGACAAAAGUGUCAGCUGUUUGCCCAAGGUUUGGAAGAACUGUGAAGUUCAGUUGAAGAGAUGCUAGUGCCACAAGUGUGUUGAUGCUUACUAUUUGCUAUGAAUGCAACUGUCUCUUUCCUGCUAAGUUCAUAUUACUAGCGGUGGGAAAUAUUCCUAAAAAUUCUAGUUUACAGUGCAAAGCAUAAAUGGGAUACAUUUUGUUGCACCUUGUGAAUGCGGUUUGCUACAGGCUCUCGGUUAGGCCAGGCAGAGAAAAACGAAAUUGUAAUUGUUUAGAAAGCGAAAAGGUCUCUGGGAGGAGGUAGUAAGCUUGAGCCUAUCCCUCCUACUGGUUUGUGAUCCCUCUUACAGGUUUGUGUGGUGCUAGAACAGAUACAACCAGAUACCUGUACCUAAAACGACUUGUUUGUUUAGCAUAGUCUAAUUAGUAUUAAGAAUUUAGACUUACCAUGCUUUUUGUCCUCUCGUACCCAGCAUUUCUGGUCAAAAUGAGAACUGUGUAUUUUUCCUCAUCUUGCUUAUGAACAGCAUUGCUGUAGGACCCUUGCUUUGCUCGUAGGCCUCUGGGGUGGUGCAGGGGGAGGGCAGCAGGCUCUGUCCUUCCUGGGCAGCGGCUGCAGCUUCCCUCAGAGUGCCCAGGCCGUGUGUUUACGUGGGUCCUUUGUUUCUCCUGCCUCCUCUCUCAGGUGUCUUCUCCUUUCUCUUGGCUCUCCCAGGUGACGGUUGGGGCAGGCCUUAGAGCUCCUUCACCAAAUCCCCCAUUUUGCAGAAUCCAUCGCGCCCUUGUAGAGAAAUGCCCUCAUUCUCUCGAGCAGAAACGUACAAACUUUUAAUUUUUUUAAAGAAAGAAUAUGUAUAUAAUUAUAUAUAAGAAAAAAAUACAGUUAUUUAAACACUAUUGGUAAAUUCAUGCAUGUAUAUGGUGUUCCCCUUCCUCCCUGCCACCUUUUCCCUUGGAUGUGUAGCAUCCAGAACACUAAAUGACAGAAACCUCAUUAAAAUAAGUGACAGGUCUGGUGCUGCCCGUGGGUGAGCAGGUGCUGCUUUCUGUGGCUGAGCUGUUCCAUACAGCGUAGGUCGUGGGCUGUGUGCUCAGAUGGGGCCCUGCUGUAAGGAUGGACAGGCACCGGGCAGCAACUCUAGGAAUAAGCCAUGUCCUCCCUGCAUGUCGUGUGGGUGCCCUACAGCUCUCUGUGGGCAUCAAUACUGCCCUUCUCCUUCACCUGUUUAAAAUAGGGGAAAAAAAAAACAAAUUCUAUUCUCUUGAUUUAUUUAUAAAUGUUUUUAUACUUCUCCCUCUAGGUGAAAUAACCCAUUUAAAUGUCCUUUUUCUGAAUUUGUAAAAAAUAAAAACCAUUUGCUUUUUUUUUUUUCUUUUUUUUGCACUGUGAAGCGCCCUGUGCGGGAGCUGUUUUUAACUCUGUAUUCAUUUGUACUCCGUGUCUUAGAACUGUUUCAAUAAAAACGUGGUCAUUUGCUA